AUCCUUAAGUCGUAAUUUAAGGUGGUCUCUGCCCUAUGACAAUUAAAUGGCCGCUGUAUAUACUGUGCUAAGGUAGCAAAAUAAUUAGGCUAUUAAUUGUAGUCGAGAAUGAAAGAGGUUCAUGGAAGCAAACUUUAUUAAAUCUAUGUUUUGAAUUUGCUAAAAAGGUGAAAACACCUUUAUCAAUAAAAAAGACGAAAAGACCCUGGGAAUUGUGACAGCAGUAUUUGUUGGGGCAACACAUAUAACAAACAGUAUAUAUUACAAGUCUACUUGUAUGAAAGAAUAAUUACCCCAGGGAUAACAGCAUAAUAUUAAAAAUGUUUGUGACCUCGAUGUUGGACUAAGAAAUGACAAGAUAAGCAGUUUUGUCUAUUGGCUCUGUUCGAGCACUACCUCUU
rnacentral:rRNA from 1 species